rnacentral:rRNA from 1 species
AGCAGUCGCCACGGUAAUACGUAGGUGGCAAGCGUUAAUCGGAAUUAUUGGGCGUAAAGGGCUCGCAGGCGGUUUCUUAAGUCUGAUGUGAAAGCCCCCGGCUCAACCGGGGAGGGUCAUUGGAAACUUGGAAACUUGAGUGCAGAAGAGGAGAGUGGGAUUCCACGUGUAGCGGUGAAAUGCGUAGAGAUGUGGAGGAACACCAGUGGUGAAGGCGACUCUCUGGUCUGUAACUGACGCUGAGGAGCGAAAGCGUGGGGAGCGAACAGGAUUAGAGACCCGCGUAGUCUGUCUCUUAUACAA